rnacentral:rRNA from 1 species
AGCGAACGCUGGCGGCAGGCUUAACACAUGCAAGUCGAGCGCCCCGCAAGGGGAGCGGCAGACGGGAGAGUAACACGUGGGAACAUACCUUUUGGUUCGGAACAACUGAGGGAAACUUCAGCUAAUACCGGAUAAGCCCUUACGGGGAAAGAUUUAUCGCCGAAAGAUUGGCCCGCGUCUGAUUAGCUAGUUGGUGAGGUAACGGCUCACCAAGGCGACGAUCAGUAGCUGGUCUGAGAGGAUGAUCAGCCUCACUGGGACUGAGACACGGCCCAGACUCCUACGGGAGGCAGCAGUGGGGAAUAUUGGACAAUGGGGGCAACCCUGAUCCAGCCAUGCCGCGUGAGUGAUGAAGGCCUUAGGGUUGUAAAGCUCUUUUGCCCGGGAAGAUAAUGACGGUACCGGGAGAAUAAGCCCCGGCUAACUGCGU